rnacentral:rRNA from 1 species
UACGUAGGUCCCGAGCGUUGUCCGGAUUUAUUGGGUGUAAAGGGUGCGUAGGCGGCUUGGCAAGUCAGUAGUGAAAUCCAUGGGCUUAACCCAUGAACUGCUAUUGAAACUGUCGAGCUUGAGUGAAGUAGAGGUAGGCGGAAUUCCCGGUGUAGCGGUGAAAUGCGUAGAGAUCGGGAGGAACACCAGUGGCGAAGGCGGCCUACUGGGCUUUAACUGACGCUGAGGCACGAAAGCGUGGGUAGCAAACAGG